ACCAGAUAUUAUUCGGUCUUCACAUAAAAAGAGGGGGGAGAGAGAGAGCGAGGAAGUCACCCCAGGUUCCCUCUGUUCUCCUUGCCUCGACCGAUCUCUUGGGCUUCCCCGCCUCCGAUCUCGUCCAUCAUGUCCUCGGAGACAGCUCAACCACUGCCCAAGUUUGGAGAGUGGGAUGUCAAUAAUCCUGCCUCAGCUGAAGGGUACACUGUUAUAUUCAACAAGGCCCGAGAUGAAAAAAAGACGGGUGGUAACUCAGGCACACCCACAGCAACACCGAAAAGAGAUGUAGGAGGUCUACAAGCAGAUGACACCUACCAGUAUCCAAGAAAAAGUCGGAAGUGGUUUUGCUGUGGUUGAAUGCUGCUGCUGGAGCAACGAGCACUCGGUGAUCUCAGUUGGGGCUGUGAGAAAAAAAGUUUGUUUUAAAUUUUAAUGAACAGAUACUAUCGUUGGAUCAUUAUUGUGUGUAUCAAUAUUAUGUAGGCAAAAAAACAGGAAACAUGGAUGGAGGACUCUUAUUUCAAUUUUGCUAAAUUGCUGGAAAUAGCAGUGUGUUACAAUUUGUGCAGAUCAGUUAUCUGUAGACUAGCAAACAACAACACAUUGCUCAUUGAGGUGUUGCAUCAGACUCCUCCCUCCAUCAGAAACUGUUGCUCCUCCUAUAAAAAUUAUCAGAUGUGAUCUCCAACCAUCAACCCUUAAAUUUGAGGCCACAUCUGAUAAUUUUUUAUAGAUUCUAGUUAGCUAGCUUAGCUUUGCAAAUAUGGUUUCUGCAUAUUUCGAAUAUGAUUCAUGUUUAAAUGAAUAAGGGAGACAUUGCUUGUGGCAGUAUUUUGUCACUUAGAAUCUCAAUGGUUCCUACAUAAUCAAGUCCCAAAAGCAGCAUGUUUCAUGCUAAUUUAGUCAAAUUCUAUCAAAAAAACAAUCACAUAAAGCAUGAAUAUUUGAUUUAUUUCCUUAUUAUUUGAACUUAUGCAACCAAUGUGCCAAAUAGACCUAGUAAUGCCUUUAAGAAAGAAAAAAAAAGAUAGAAACCUAUAGUAGUACCUAGCAAAGGUGUUAGGUUUUCUUGUUUAUUCUAUUCCUUUUACUUUUUAUUUAUUGCCAAAGAUUUGAUUAUUCUUUUAGCUGUAUUGUGAUGUGUUUUGUUUCUCAAGCAAGGUAAGAUAUUUCAUAUGUCAUGUGUAUGUACCAAUGUGAUUAGGAUAUAUGAGAAUAUUACAUGUUUGUUUCUUACUAUUUAUCAUUGUUGCUUAUGUUUAAAUCAUAUAAUAAAUUAUACAUGACAUACAGGUUUUUGUGAUGAUAUUUCUUGUUAUUCAUAAAAACCAUAAAUUGUAUGUGAUUUAUGAUGUGCUUUUGUGUUAACAUUCAUAUCAUUAUAUUAUAAAUUAUCUAAUUAUUAUUAUUUACUCUAUUUAGUCCUGAGGAGUAACCGAAGAAUUAUUUUUGUAAUAUUUGGAUUAUAUUAUGCUAUGAGAAACUUAUUUAAAAUUGAUUUUCUUAAAAGAAAAUUAACUUAAUAUUAUUAGUCUUUUAUGAAACUAUUUUGAGUUGUCAAAGUGUAAUUAUAGAUAAAUCAUUAUAUAAUAUGUAACUGUGUGGUCGUCAUCAAAGUAAACAAUUAUCUUUAUGAUGCUCCUCUUGCAUAUGUUUGCAUCACUCGCUUCUGAAACCCAAUCCUAGGAAUGUUGUCAUAGGCACAUACAUCAACAUAAGACACAAAGAAGUUCUCAGUUCGUCCGUGCGUUCUUCAUGAAUCUACCGCGAAGAAACAAACUCGCGAUCUGGACCGUGGGAUCGUUCGAUCAUACGGCCCACACCAAUCCAAUGAGUCAGCUCGGCGUUAAUUGAGCUCGGGUUGACUCGCGAUUCGACUCGGUACAAUCGGUCCGAGUCGACUCGAUGAGCUUAUUAAAGACACAAAAAAGAAAAGAUAAAAAAAAAAUCCAUCAGGAGAAGCGGCGUGCACGGGAAGCCAGGCGACGUGCGAGCCCUAACAUUUCCUCUGCUGCGGCUGCCGACAUCGCCGGCCGAACCUCCUCCUCCUGGCCGCAAGCCACAACCCACCGCCUCUCACUGCCGUUGUCGCCUCCUCUCGCAGGAUGCUGUGGAGUAUCGUAGCGUUCGCCAGUCUUCUUCAUCACCAAUGGAACAGCGAUGUCUUGGGCUUAUCCUGAUUCCUGCCAGGUGCCGAGCUUCUUGCCAUGUAGAAUGCUCCAUAGAUGAGCAGAUGUCGCUCCUAUCACUUAAUAAAUGAAGGACAGGGUUGUGUGCUACUAAAAGAAAAUAAAAGAUUUUGUUAUCUGCUU